CCAGACACUGUUAAAGAGAGUUUCCUCACUCAGUUUAUCUAUUCAUUCUCUGGUUUGCUAGGCUCUUCCAUCCUUUCCUCUUCUUAGUGUAAGCUUUAAAUCUUUUCUUCCAAAGAACACCUGCAAAAACAAUGUAUGACCUGCUUUUGCAACAUAGCGUUGGCAAAGGGAAACAUCCCAUUACGUUCUCCCAUAUUAUUCACUUCAACAAAAAUUGUUUAGUUGAGCAUUCUGUCUUUCAGCCAAGGAUUCAGAGGUGAACAAACUCACAUUCUAAUAGAUGAUUGUUACAGGUGGUUGCUAUGGCACCAUAUUUUUCCCCCUUGUAUUCGUUUCCAGUUUUCACAAACUGGAUGGCUUAAAAAAAUUACUGUCUGUCCCUUCUGGAGUCUAGAAGCUGAUAUCAGGAUGUUGGUUGGGCCAUGAUCCCUCUGAAGGUGCUAAAGAAGGAUCUGUUCCAGAACUUUGUCCUAACUUCUGGUGGUCCCUUGUCUUCCCAUGGAUUUUCUCCCUCUGUUUGUGUAUGUGUAUGUGUGUGUUGAAAUUUCCCCCUUUUUUAAAGGACACAGUCGUAUUGGAUGAGAGUCCACCCUAAUGUCUUCAUUUUAACUUGUUUACUUCUGUAAAGACCCUAUUUCCAGCUGAAUGCCUUGCUAUGCUGAUCGUUCACAUCCCUUUGCUCCAAGUUUCCUUGGACAACAUACUUGCUCCAUGUGUUAUAAAUUAUACUCCAGGCAUGUGCAGCUAAGAAGAAGAAUGAAACUAGACCACUCUCUUGCACCAUACACAAAGAUAAACUCAAAAUGGAUG